CGAAGGCAAGCGGAUCUCUUAAAGCCGUUCUCAGUUCGGACUGUAGGCUGCAACUCGCCUACACGAAGCUGGAAUCGCUAGUAAUCGCGGAUCAGCACGCCGCGGUGAAUACGUUCCCGGGCCUUGUACACACCGCCCGUCACACCAUGAGAGUCUGUAACACCCAAAGCCGGUGGGACAACCUUUAUAGGAGUCAGCCGUCUAAGGUAGGACAGAUGAUUAGGGUGAAGUCGUAACAAGGUACC
rnacentral:rRNA from 1 species